rnacentral:rRNA from 1 species
UACGUAGGGGGCAAGCGUUGUCCGGAUUUAUUGGGCGUAAAGAGCGUGUAGGCGGCCAUACAGGUCAGCUGUGAAAACUCGAGGCUCAACCUCGAGACGUCGGUUGAAACCGUUUGGCUAGAGUCCGGAAGAGGAGAGUGGAAUUCCCGGUGUAGCGGUGAAAUGCGCAGAUAUCGGGAAGAACACCGAUGGCGAAGGCAGAUCUCUGGGCCGUAACUGACGCUGAGGAGCGAAAGCCAGGGGAGCAAACGGG